rnacentral:rRNA from 1 species
ACGGAGGGUGCAAGCGUUAUUCGGAAUUACUGGGCGUAAAGGGCGCGCAGGCGGGAGAAUAAGUCAGAUGUGAAAUCCCGGGGCUUAACCCCGGAACGGCAUUUGAAACGGUUUAGCUUGAGUACUGGAGAGGAAGGGAGAAUUCCCGGUGUAGAGGUGAAAUGCGUAGAGAUCGGGAGGAACAGCAGUGGCGAAGGCGCCCCUCUGGACAGCAACUGACGCUGAGGCGCGAAAGCGUGGGGAGCAAACAG